CACGUAGUUAGCCGUGGCUUUCUGAUUAGGUACCGUCAAGACGUGCAUAGUUACUUACACAUUUUGUUCUUCCCUAAUAACAGAGUUUUUACGAUCCGAAGACCUUCAUCACUCACGCGGCGUUGCUCCGUCAGGCUUUCGCCCAUUGCGGAAGAUUCCCUACUGCUGCCUCCCGUAAGAGUCUGGACCGUGUCUCAGUUCCGGUGUGGCCGAUCACCCUCUCAGGUCCGGCUACGCAUCGUUGCCUUGGUAAGCCGUUACCUUACCAACUAGCUAAUGCGGCGCGGAUCCAUCUAUAAGUGACAGCAAGACCGUCUUUCACUGUUGAACCAUGCGUUCAACAUUGUUAUCCGGUAUUACGCCUUCCCGGUUUCCCGAAGUUACUCCCUAGUCUUAUAGGGUUAGGUUAUCCGACGUUGUUACUCCGACCCCGUCCGCCGCUUAACGUCAGAGGAGCAAGCU
rnacentral:rRNA from 1 species